rnacentral:rRNA from 1 species
AGGAGAGUUUGAUCCUGGCUCAGGACGAACGCUGGCGGCGCGUUUUAAGCAUGCAAGUCGAGCGGUAAGCCGGAGCAAUCCGGCCUAGAGCGGCGGACGGGUGAGUAACACGUGGAUAAUCUGGCCUACAGUUUGGGAUAGCCUGGUGAAAGCCAGGAUAAUACCGGAUACGACGUAAUUUACAUAAGUAAGAUACGGGAAAGGGGCUAAGGCCUCGCUGAAGGAUGAGUCCGCGUCCCAUUAGCUGGAUGGUGGGGUAAAGGCCUACCAUGGCGAUGAUGGGUAGCCGGCCUAAGAGGGUGAACGGCCACAUUGGGACUGAGAUACGGCCCAGACUCCUACGGGAGGCAGCAGCUAAGAAUCUUCCGCAAUGGUCGAAAGACUGACGGAGCGACGCCGCGUGAAUGAUGAAGGCCGUGAGGUUGUAAAGUUCUUUUCUGGAGGGAGAAUAAGUGCAUCAGGGAAUGGGUGCAUGAUGACGUGAAUCCAGGAAUAAGCCCCGGCUAACUACGUGCCAGCAGCCGCGGUAACACGUAGGGGGCAAGCGUUGUUCGGAAUUAUUGGGCGUAAAGGGCGCGCAGGCGGCCUGGCAAGUCUGCUGUUAAAUGGUUGAGCUUAACUCAAUCAUGCGGUGGAAACUACAAGGCUAGAAUCAACGAGGGGAUGCCGGAAUUCCAGGUGUAGGGGUGAAAUCUGUAGAUAUCUGGAAGAACACCAAUGGCGAAGGCAGGCAUCUGGCGACUGAUUGACGCUGAGGCGCGAAGGUGCGGGGAGCAAACAGGUUUAGAUACCCUGGUAGUCCCCU